GCCUGGCUGGCUCAGUCAGUAGAGCAUGCAACUCUUGAUCUCAGGGUCAUGAGUUCAAGCCCCAUGUUGGGCA
rnacentral:tRNA from 1 species